rnacentral:rRNA from 1 species
GGAGUUAGCCGGUGCUUCUUCUGUGGGUGAUGUCGUCCCUGCCGGCUAUUAACCCGCAGGCCUUCUUCCCCACUGAAAGUGCUUUACAACCCGAAAGCCUUCUUCACACACGCGGCAUGGCUGGAUCAGGGUUGCCCCCAUUGUCCAAUAUUCCCCACUGCUGCCUCCCGUAGGAGUCUGGGCCGUGUCUCAGUCCCAGUGUGGCUGAUCAUCCUCUCAGACCAGCUACGGAUCGUCGCCUUGGUGAGCCGUUACCUCACCAACCAGCUAAUCCGACAUAGGCUCAUCCGAUAGCGCGAGGCCCGAAGGUCCCCCGCUUUCUCCCGUAGGACGUAUGCGGUAUUAGCCUGGGUUUCCCCAGGUUAUCCCCCACUACCGGGCAGAUUCCUAUGCAUUACUCACCCGUCCGCCGCUCGACGCCUCCUAGCAAGCUAGGAUCGUUUCCGCUCGACUUGCAUGUGUUAGGCCUGCCGCCAGCGUUCAAUCUGAGCCAGAAUCAAACUACUGA